CUGACUUUCAAUGUCAUAGCCUUCUCUUAUUGGGGACCCGCACCGUCCAUGAUGAUUUCUCCCGUCCAGCGAUGUAAAUGAUUCUGACUUACGAAGGACAGAUUGGCCCGAUGAUCCGUGCAUUGUUGUUGAGACCAGCGACUCAGCUAUUUUGAAGGGAGUUGGACUUGGGGAACGAGCGCCAACCUGUGCUUCCACCUCAAGAGCAAUGUCAUAAGGGUCAGGAGGAGGGAUUUCCACAGGCAGCUCUUUAUCCAGAACCUCAGGACUAAAGAUUGGAUGCCCUCUCUCCAAAUGACGAAAAGGCGCCUGUGGACUUUUAUCCCGGGAAGCACGGGUACCUGCUACCCUGCCCAGAGAGAAGUAGCCGCUUUCCCGUUUUUCUCUAUCUUCUUUAAACCCUGGAGGAAAAUUGAAGACAUUGUGACAAAAAUAGAACUAAGACAAAAAACCCUAACCCUUUCCUGACACAAACCAAGCUGUAUAGUAUUAUAUUACUGUUGAUUAUUGUAGGACACCUCAGGUGGUGGCAUCACGCGUAUUGCCCGGUAAACAACACCUUUGGCUGUAACUGGAUAUACAGUAGAAUGGUAAAGUGCAGUAAGUCAUAGGUUCACGGAAGGAUCAUAUUUGGAACUGGACAUUCUUAAAUGAAAAACUCUUGUCGGUGAGGCUGUGUUCAAUCCAGUGUCAGGGGGUGCCCAUUUGGUAACUGGGCCUUGAGAGAAUGUUCAUGGAGUAAAUUAGAAUUUAGUGUGUUCUGGAAGCCAAGAGCGAAGGUUUUACUGGCCCCGAUCAAUUAUG